rnacentral:rRNA from 1 species
UACGUAGGGUGCGAGCGUUGUCCGGAAUUCUGGGCGUAAAGAGCUCGUAGGUGGUUUGUCGCGUUUGUUCGUGAAAACCGGGGGCUUAACCCUCGGCGUGCGGGCGAUACGGGGCAGACUGGAGUACUGCAGGGGAGACUGGAAUUCCUGGUGUAGCGGUGGAAUGCGCAGAUAUCAGGAGGAACACCGGUGGCGAAGGCGGGUCUCUGGGCAGUAACUGACGCUGAGGAGCGAAAGCGUGGGGAGCGAACAGG